UACGUAGGGAGCAAGCGUUGUCCGGAAUUAUUGGGCGUAAAGAGCUCGUAGGCGGUCUGUCGCGUCGAAUGUGAAAACCCGGGGCUCAACUCCGGGCUUGCAUUCGAUACGGGCAGGCUAGAGUUCGGUAGGGGAGUCUGGAAUUCCUGGUGUAGCGGUGAAAUGCGCAGAUAUCAGGAGGAACACCGGUGGCGAAGGCGGGACUCUGGGCCGAUACUGACGCUGAGGAGCGAAAGCGUGGGGAGCGAACAGG
rnacentral:rRNA from 1 species